rnacentral:lncRNA from 1 species
UCAAAGCAAAAGUUUGUUGGCAAAUGAAGGAUUGAAUGAUUGGAAACAUAUACAUGAUAGACUCAAAACACAUGAGAAUGGUGUCGAGCAUAUUAAUAAUAUGAGAACUUGGAUUGAUUUGCAUAUUAGAUUGAAACGCAAUCAAACAAUUGAUAGAGAUUUACAAGUGCACAUUAAGAAAGAGAAAGAACAUUGGAAACAAGUUUUAGUUAGAAUUAUUGCUGUUGUGAAAUGUCUUGCUACACGUAAUUUGGCUUUUCGUGGGGAUAAUGAGAAAAUUUACCAAAAUAAUAAUGGAAUUUUUUGGGUUUACUUGAACUAAUUGCAGAAUUUGAUUUGGUAAUGCAAGAGCACUUAAGACGUGUCCAAAAUAAAGAAAUUCACUAUCAUUACCUUAGUCAUAAGAUUCAAAAUGAGUUGAUUUCAACAUUAGCCUCUAAAGUUAAGAAUGAUAUAGUCAAAAAAAUCAAAGAGGCUAAGUAUUAUUCAGUGAUACUUGAUUGCACUUCAGAUAUAAGUCAUAAUGAACAAAUGACUUUAGUAAUUCGAUGUGUUGAUAUGACUAGUUCUAGCAUAAUGAUAAAGGAAUAUUUCAUAGAAUUUAUAAGUGUGGAUGAUACAUCGGGAUUAGCUCUUUUCAAUGAAAUACAAGCUGCUUUAGAAUCACUUGGGCUUGAUAUUGAUAAUGUGAGGGGACAAGGUUAUGACAAUGGUUCCAAUAUAGAAAGGGAAACAUCAAGGUGUGCAAAAGAGAUUUCUUGAAUUAAUCCUAGAGCAUUUUAUAUGCCUAUGUGCUUGUCUAUUCUCUUAAUUUAACGAUAUGUGAUAUGGCUAGUUCUUGUGUUAAAGCGGUUUCUUUCUUUGGAGUUGUGCAACUUUUGUAUACUUUAUUUGCAAGUUCUACAAAAAGAUGGAAAAUUUUACAGGAUCACCUUCAUCAAUUUACUUUGAAGUCCUUAUCAACAACAAGAUGGGAAAGUCAUAUUAAUAGUGUUACUGCUAUACUAACUCAACCUAAUGAGAUAAGAGAGGCUCUAUUUGAACUAGCAAGAGUAAGUGAUGAUGCUAAAACUAGGAGUGAAGCCGAGUCUUUGGCGACUAAUGAACUUGAGAAUUUUGAGUUUUUGUUGGGUAUGACUAUAUGGCAUAAUAUAUUGAACAAAACAAAUUUGAUUAGCAAAAAAUUACAAUCUAAAGAUAUGCAAAUUGAUGUUGCAAUAGUUAUUUUGAAAGGUUUGAUUUCUUAUUUUGAAAAAUAUAGAGAGGAUGGUUUUCAAUUGGCCUUGACAUUAGCUAAGGAGCUUGCAUCUAAGAUGGAAAUUGAUCCUAUUUUUCCACCAAAACGUAUGAUUCGUAGGAAGAAACAAUUUGAUGAAAGUUGUCAAGAAGAGAUUCCAUUAUCUGAUGAGGAGUCUUUUAGGAUCAAUUAUUUUCUUGUUAUAGUGGAUAUUGCUAUUUUAUCUUUAAAGACUAGAUUUGAACAAUUGACAAUUUUUGAAGUAUAUUUUUGGCUUUUUUCCUCAUAAGAUGUUAUCUUUAUGGGAUAGUGAUAAAUUGCAUAAGUGUUGUGUUAAGCUUCAAGAUGCCCUGAAACAUAAUGAUAAAUUUGACAUUGAUGCUGAAGAUUUAUAUUCUGAAUUGCAAGUGCUACAAAUGUGUUUACCAUCUGAAACAAAAUCGCUUGGUGAGGUUCUUGAAUUUGUUAAAGUUUCAGAUUGCUUUCCAAAUGUUUCUAUUGCAUAUAGAAUAUUAUUGACUAUACCAGUUACUGUAGCUUCAGCAGAAAGAAGUUUUUCAAAAUUAAAAUUAGAUAAAAUCAUAUUUCGUUCUACUAUGUCUCAAGAAAGGUUGAAUGGAUUAGCG